rnacentral:tRNA from 1 species
UCCCCGGUGGCUCAGAUGGUAAAGCGUCUGUCUACAAUGCAGGAGACCUGGGUUCGAUCCCUGGAUGGGGAA